ensembl:lncRNA
UGAUCACGAAAUAUGAAUAUUAAAUAUAAAUUUAUAAAAAAAUAAAUAUGAGCUUAAUUCAUGAUUUUAAAAAAAAAAUUUUAAUAAGUUAUUUUUGUAUCACACAGGACUAAUAGGUUAUGUUUUAUGUCUUUCUUAACUAAUUAGCCUAAACAUUAUUUUAUUUUUAUAUAACUAUUUUAAUAAACGAAAAUAUAAUAUAAUAAAUACAUUAAUAUAUUUCAUAUUAAGCAUAGUUUAGUCCUUUUAAAGUAAUUAAUUUUACUCGAGACAAAAUAUUAUCUGGUUGUUUUUCAAAAAACCCGCGCAAAUUUCCGUCAGUAACGUCCGCUCGCACAUCCACGGCUCACCCUUUCACGGGAUCACAACGGGACGGCUGGAAAAUAACAGGUAAGCAUUCGAACUUCUUUAUUCCUAUUUAAAGCCUUUUUUUGUGAUUUUUAUAUAUAUAUAUAUAUAUAAAAAAUUUUUUUUUUUUUCUUCUUCUCAUAGCCGGACACAGACAAACCAGUCACGCAAAUUGUAUUUUUUAAACUAGAGAGAUCACUGACAGGCCAUAUGAAACCAUUCGCCAUUUUGUGAGGGUUCGCGGUGGCUUGAUUAACGUUAACUUACUUGAUAAUAGGCAGCUGAUUUUGAAAAUAUCUGUGAAUACUUCGAUGCUUUUUGUCUUUGGAUACCAAUCUAAAGGGAGACAGAAGUGGAGAUGGAGUCUGACUUGAGAUACGCAGUGAUUAAAUUCCCCCAAGACAACACAGUUGACGUAGUUCCUUCCAACUGGCUUGAAAAAACAACAGAGAGAAUAUAUUGCUACUGGCCAAGAAAAAUUUUUACUGCUAAAGCAAAAAGGAGAGACAAUCCAGAUACUACCCUCUGGUCAAAACAUGUUUCAGUGGUUCUGGUGUAUGCAGAUAGCUAUGAGGAAGCCAGACUGAAGGCCAACCAGGCUACAGUGACAUCAAACCUGGAAAGCGAAGAGGAGCCAACACGGAGACCAGUAAGACCUCCAGCGCGAUAUAGGAGACAGCUGGAUAGUGGUGAUGACGAAGACUCACCGCCACCAAAGACACGCAUUGUCAGCACACCAAAAUUUACCCCAAGAACAGAAUAUUUUGAAGAACAAAGACAGUUAAAUACUCCAAGCUGUGGCACCACUCAACAAGGUUUUCUAAGUGCCCAAGAACCAGCACCCACAGUGUCUAACUGGGAAACGCAACAUGAAGACAACACCGAGUUGAAGAAACUAGAAAGAGCCAUCUUCAUUCGACUUGACAAAAUGGACCAAAAGCUGUCAACGAUAGAAACACUUAAGAAGUAUUGCCCAGCCAACCGACAUUUCUGA